ensembl:snRNA U6 U6 spliceosomal RNA
GUAUCGCUUCAGCAGUACAUAUACUAAAAUUGGAACAAUACAGAAGAUUAUCAUGGCCCUUGCCCAAGGAUGACAUGCAAAUUCAUGAAGCAUUCCAUAUUUAA